AUACGGAGGAUCCGAGCGUUAUCCGGAUUUAUUGGGUUUAAAGGGUGUCGUAGGCGGAAUAAUAAGUCAGUUGUGAAAGUUUGCGGCUCAACCGUAAAAUUGCAGUUGAUACUGUUAUUCUUGAGUGUACAUAAGGUAGGCGGAAUUCGUGGUGUAGCGGUGAAAUGCUUAGAUAUCACGAAGAACUCCAAUUGCGAAGGCAGCUUACCGGGGUACAACUGACGCUGAGGCACGAAAGUGUGGGUAUC
rnacentral:rRNA from 1 species